rnacentral:rRNA from 1 species
GAUGAACGCUGGCGGCGUGCCUAAUACAUGCAAGUCGAGCGAACAGACGAGGAGCUUGCUCCUCUGACGUUAGCCGCGGACGGGAGAGUAACACGUGGAUAACCUACCUAUAAGACUGGGAUAACUUCGGGAAACCGGAGCUAAUACCGGAAAAUAUAUUGAACCGCAUGGUUCAAUAGUGAAAGACGGUUUUGCUGUCACUUAUAGAUGGAUCCGCGCAGCAUGAGGUAGUUGGUAAGGUGACGGCUUACCAAGGCAACGCUGCGUAGCCGACCUGAGAGGGUGAGCGGCCACACGGGAACUGAGACACGCUCCAGACUCCUACGGGAGGCAGCAGUAGGGAAUCUUCCGCAAUGGGCGAAAGCCUGACGGAGCAACGCCGCGUGAGUGAUGAAGGUCUUCGGAUCGUAAAACUCUGUUAUUAGGGAAGAACAAAUGUGUAAGUAACUAUGCACGUCUUGACGGUACCUAAUCAGAAAGCCACGGCUAACUACGU